rnacentral:rRNA from 1 species
GGUUAAGCGACUAAGCGUACACGGUGGAUGCCCUGGCAGUCAGAGGCGAUGAAGGACGUGCUAAUCUGCGAUAAGCGUCGGUGAGGUGAUAUGAACCGUUAUAACCGGCGAUUUCCGAAUGGGGAAACCCAGUGUGUUUCGACACACUAUCAUUAACUGAAUCCAUAGGUUAAUGAGGCGAACCGGGGGAACUGAAACAUCUAAGUACCCCGAGGAAAAGAAAUCAACCGAGAUUCCCCCAGUAGCGGCGAGCGAACGGGGAGGAGCCCAGAGCCUGAAUCAGUGUGUGUGUUAGUGGAAGCGUCUGGAAAGGCGCGCGAUACAGGGUGACAGCCCCGUACACAAAAAUGCACAUAUUGUGAGCUCGAUGAGUAGGGCGGGACACGUGGUAUCCUGUCUGAAUAUGGGGGGACCAUCCUCCAAGGCUAAAUACUCCUGACUGACCGAUAGUGAACCAGUACCGUGAGGGAAAGGCGAAAAGAACCCCGGCGAGGGGAGUGAAAAAGAACCUGAAACCGUGUACGUACAAGCAGUGGGAGCCUCUUAAUGGGGUGACUGCGUACCUUUUGUAUAAUGGGUCAGCGACUUAUAUUCUGUAGCAAGGUUAACCGAAUAGGGGAGCCGAAGGGAAACCGAGUCUUAACUGGGCGUUAAGUUGCAGGGUAUAGACCCGAAACCCGGUGAUCUAGCCAUGGGCAGGUUGAAGGUUGGGUAACACUAACUGGAGGACCGAACCGACUAAUGUUGAAAAAUUAGCGGAUGACUUGUGGCUGGGGGUGAAAGGCCAAUCAAACCGGGAGAUAGCUGGUUCUCCCCGAAAGCUAUUUAGGUAGCGCCUCGUGAAUUCAUCUCCGGGGGUAGAGCACUGUUUCGGCAAGGGGGUCAUCCCGACUUACCAACCCGAUGCAAACUGCGAAUACCGGAGAAUGUUAUCACGGGAGACACACGGCGGGUGCUAACGUCCGUCGUGAAGAGGGAAACAACCCAGACCGCCAGCUAAGGUCCCAAAGUCAUGGUUAAGUGGGAAACGAUGUGGGAAGGCCCAGACAGCCAGGAUGUUGGCUUAGAAGCAGCCAUCAUUUAAAGAAAGCGUAAUAGCUCACUGGUCGAGUCGGCCUGCGCGGAAGAUGUAACGGGGCUAAACCAUGCACCGAAGCUGCGGCAGCGACACUAUGUGUUGUUGGGUAGGGGAGCGUUCUGUAAGCCUGUGAAGGUGGCCUGUGAGGGUUGCUGGAGGUAUCAGAAGUGCGAAUGCUGACAUAAGUAACGAUAAAGCGGGUGAAAAGCCCGCUCGCCGGAAGACCAAGGGUUCCUGUCCAACGUUAAUCGGGGCAGGGUGAGUCGACCCCUAAGGCGAGGCCGAAAGGCGUAGUCGAUGGGAAACAGGUUAAUAUUCCUGUACUUGGUGUUACUGCGAAGGGGGGACGGAGAAGGCUAUGUUGGCCGGGCGACGGUUGUCCCGGUUUAAGCGUGUAGGCUGGUUUUCCAGGCAAAUCCGGAAAACCAAGGCUGAGGCGUGAUGACGAGGCACUACGGUGCUGAAGCGACAAAUGCCCUGCUUCCAGGAAAAGCCUCUAAGCAUCAGGUAACAUCAAAUCGUACCCCAAACCGACACAGGUGGUCAGGUAGAGAAUACCAAGGCGCUUGAGAGAACUCGGGUGAAGGAACUAGGCAAAAUGGUGCCGUAACUUCGGGAGAAGGCACGCUGAUAUGUAGGUGAAGCGACUUGCUCGUGGAGCUGAAAUCAGUCGAAGAUACCAGCUGGCUGCAACUGUUUAUUAAAAACACAGCACUGUGCAAACACGAAAGUGGACGUAUACGGUGUGACGCCUGCCCGGUGCCGGAAGGUUAAUUGAUGGGGUUAGCGGCAACGCGAAGCUCUUGAUCGAAGCCCCGGUAAACGGCGGCCGUAACUAUAACGGUCCUAAGGUAGCGAAAUUCCUUGUCGGGUAAGUUCCGACCUGCACGAAUGGCGUAAUGAUGGCCAGGCUGUCUCCACCCGAGACUCAGUGAAAUUGAACUCGCUGUGAAGAUGCAGUGUACCCGCGGCAAGACGGAAAGACCCCGUGAACCUUUACUAUAGCUUGACACUGAACAUUGAGCCUUGAUGUGUAGGAUAGGUGGGAGGCUUUGAAGUGUGGACGCCAGUCUGCAUGGAGCCGACCUUGAAAUACCACCCUUUAAUGUUUGAUGUUCUAACGUUGGCCCGUAAUCCGGGUUGCGGACAGUGUCUGGUGGGUAGUUUGACUGGGGCGGUCUCCUCCUAAAGAGUAACGGAGGAGCACGAAGGUUGGCUAAUCCUGGUCGGACAUCAGGAGGUUAGUGCAAUGGCAUAAGCCAGCUUGACUGCGAGCGUGACGGCGCGAGCAGGUGCGAAAGCAGGUCAUAGUGAUCCGGUGGUUCUGAAUGGAAGGGCCAUCGCUCAACGGAUAAAAGGUACUCCGGGGAUAACAGGCUGAUACCGCCCAAGAGUUCAUAUCGACGGCGGUGUUUGGCACCUCGAUGUCGGCUCAUCACAUCCUGGGGCUGAAGUAGGUCCCAAGGGUAUGGCUGUUCGCCAUUUAAAGUGGUACGCGAGCUGGGUUUAGAACGUCGUGAGACAGUUCGGUCCCUAUCUGCCGUGGGCGCUGGAGAACUGAGGGGGGCUGCUCCUAGUACGAGAGGACCGGAGUGGACGCAUCACUGGUGUUCGGGUUGUCAUGCCAAUGGCACUGCCCGGUAGCUAAAUGCGGAAGAGAUAAGUGCUGAAAGCAUCUAAGCACGAAACUUGCCCCGAGAUGAGUUCUCCCUGAGACUUAGAGUCUCCUGAAGGAACGUUGAAGACGACGACGUUGAUAGGCCGGGUGUGUAAGCGCAGCGAUGCGUUGAGCUAACCGGUACUAAUGAACCGUGAGGCUUAACCUUAC